GUAAGACGAGAGGAUGUGCGUGUGGAGCAUGAACACCAGAAGAACACUCUCUCAGCAGAGCAGAAACUUCCUUCCUAAUCCUACACGGACUAUGACAAUGAGAUCCUUCCUUUUCCACUCCAUGCUCCUCUCUACUCCAGAAGAGAUGUCCUGAUCUUUGACUCGAGGCUUGAAAUCAUCUUGUUAAAAGUAAAAUCAAGCAACAGCUGAAGGUCACUGCUCAAAGUCAACAACACUGAUAAAAGACUGGAGUCACACUUAAAUUCACCCAGAUGACCAUUACUUUUGAAGAAACCAGAUGAGGAAUUGGACAGAACAGUGCCUAGCUAAUUUUGAAAUUGACAAUGAACUGCUCACCUAUUUUUCCUAAUCAACCUGCUUAGGAAUGUUAUUACACACUUCUGGAGCAACUGGGAAUUGAACCAAGGUCUCUCUGGUCUAGGGCAAGGACACUAUCUCUGCAACACAAUAGGGCCCUAUUUCGAUUAAAAGUGUGAUGCUCUACUCACCGAACCAUAAAGGCAUUAAAGGUCCAAUCUGUUCAUAUACUUAAGCCGCCAAUUGGAAUUCCAGAUGCCUUUGAUCAUGUGACACAAAAGAUUUGGUCAGCAAAGAUUACUGAGCUUGAGGGGUUGGACUCAAGAAGGUAGACCAAAGACAAAUGAGAAACUUCAAUCAACAGAACAGAACAAGAGACCAAUGCCCACUUAACCAGUGUCACAAACUGGCAUCUUGAAGUAGAU